UCGAUCUAUCCCCGACUCUUACACUUCAGCUUCAUCGUUUCAUAUCUCUGUAAUAAUCACAAUCCACUUUCACCAUUCAAUUCCCUUAUUUACUCUUUUCAUUACAGAUGUUGUCGUUCCAUCUCCUACUUUUUUCUCUCUUAUACAAUCAUUUUUCUCGAAUCGUUCGUUGGUCAAUAUCCAAAACCCUCUAGAGGAGAACAACAAGUGAUGGCCAUGAAAUCUGUUCUGAACUCCGGUCAGUGCAAGGCUUCGUCUCCUCUAAUCGUUGUCCAGGAACCACAGCCUCAGGAAUUUCUCUGCUACCAAAAGAAAAGCUAUCUGUCGCGUUUCUGAUCACUCUUUGAGUAUCGCAUCCUACUUGAUGAUUUUUUUUUUAUUAGUUCAGAUUCAGAUUUUCAACAUCUGUCGUAACUCUCUGCAUACAUGUUCUGUAAUGUAUUCCUUUGGGGAUUUUGUAUAGGCAUGCCAAAAGAAAGGCGCUCUUUUUAUCUUGAAACAGAUUUGUAGUUUAUGUCGGUUCUUUUCUUCCGUCGCUUGAUUAUUUCAGUAUAGUUGAACUUGACAUCAUCUUAGAUUUGGAGAAUGGGCAUACUUUGCACUUGGUUGUGAGGCAUCCAGCAGAAUCAAUGCCUUCAUCUGGUACGCCUUCAGAAGGAGCUAAUGCAAAUGAUGCAGGAAAUGGUACUAAUGGUGGACCAUCUCGAGGCCGUGGACACAUCUCCCACAGCGUAGUCCUCGGGAGAUUCAAUUCUGCAGAUCAGACUGAAGGCUUUGUUAGCCGGAUUCAUAUUACUGUAUUUCGGUUUAAUGUAGUAUCUCAUAUAAGGUCCGCGUUUCCUGAAUGCUACCUCGGUAACACACUUCUAUUUGACAAUGAAUUGUUUACUGGCUAGAGUGUUCUUAUAGCGUUAUCUGGAUAUGAUGAUUUUAGCAGCUCCACAGCUUCCAAGUAUGGAGGUAUGAAUAAAACUGAACCAAUAACUCUUACUUAGCUGAACAACAACGUUGUUAACUCUCCAUUGCAGGUUGGUGAACUCUAUUCUUUUCAUUUUAGAUAUAUGUUAGCUCAUGAAUCAUGACCUCUCCAUGCAUAUUACUUUCCUCCUGCUAUUGACCAUGUAGACUGCAGAGUUUCUGUGCACUGCCUAGGUCCGUGACAUUGACACCACUAAUGGAUGGUGCUACAACUUCUGCUCUAAAUGCUACCGAAAACUGCGCUUGGUGCCACGAAGACACUGCAGUUGGUGCUGUGAGGUUUUGUGUUCAGAUGGUCGUCACGGAUCCAACAGACUCAGCCAUCUUCGUUGCUUUUGACGUUGAAAUAACAAAGCAGAGGUUGCACAACUCAUGGUAAUGGCAACUAUGGUGAUGAUAUGCAUGGUGUUGGAGAUUUGAAAAGAACUCCAUCUGUUCUGACACCAGUGGCUGAACAUAAGAAGUUUCACUGCUCAUGUGAUGGCUUAAGGACAUACAUGGCCGUAGAUGAUCCAAUUGAAACCUUGGAGAGGAGGAAUUAUCUCAUGAGGAAGGUCGCUUCGCCAAGAAUACCCGCAACAAUGAUUAAGUGUUGAAGACCAGGACUGAUUGAGACUCAAAACACUCUUACACUGAGACGAGACGAGACUUUG